ACAUGACCUGCCUUGCCUCCCCUUCAUUCUAAGGGCUCCUGUAAAUGUCAUUUACAUUAAAGUUCUGUGCUUGGGCCUGCAGGUUCCAUUUUGGCGUUGCAGGAUACUAGAAGCCUUGCAUUCCUGAAAUGCAAUUUCCAGAUCAUUUAAUAAUUAGUCCAUCUUCCACCAUGGUGUGCCGUGGACAUCCUGUUGCA
rnacentral:lncRNA from 1 species